AGCCCCGAGGUGAUUUUUCACAUUGAAUUGCAAGUUCGAAGGAGCAGCUUUUAAGUUUCUGCCGGGGCUU
rnacentral:tRNA from 1 species